rnacentral:tRNA from 1 species
GCCUUUGUGGUGUAGCGGUCAACACGCUCGACUCGUAUUCGAGAGGUCCACGGUUCGAGUCCCGCCGAGUGCA